CAUUUGAGUUGCGUUAGUUAUGCGUUUAUGUCACUGAGUUCUGCAAAAAUCUCUUUCCUCUUUAGCUUGAAAAUGAGCGAUUCAGAGGAUCCCGAGCUGGAGGAAGAGCUUCAGGCUGCUGACGAACUCCUUCAAGAUAUGCAGAAUGAUGCACAGAGUGAACCUCAGCCAAGACCAGUGCGCUGGAAAACACGUGACAGACAGACAGGGAGAUUUUAUUCCUCAAAGACCAUCAACCAGUCGAUGUACUAGUUGCAUGCCACGUGUGUCCAGAGAGCAGCAUCAAUGUCCACGUGAAGAACCUAGUUAUGUUGCCAGUGUCAACCCAACAAAAAGGUA